UACGUAGGUGGCAAGCGUUGUUCGGAAUUAUUGGGCGUAAAGGGCGCGUAGGCGGUUUGUUAAGUCGGUCGUGAAAGCCCGGGGCUCAACCCCGGAGGGUCGACCGAUACUGGCAGACUAGAGUACAGAAGAGGUAACUGGAAUUCCCGGAUGUAGCGGUGAAAUGCGUAGAGAUCCGGAAGCAACGACCGAUGGCGAAGGCAGCCCCCUGGGCCGACACUGACGCUCAUGCACGAAAGCGUGGGGAGCAAACAGG
rnacentral:rRNA from 1 species